CACAGAAUUUUUGAUAUUCUGCCGCAAUCUAUUCCCAAAACAUCACUGAUGACAAAACGAUAAUAAUCUUUGGAAACAUUUCCUCUCAAGUUCCAAAGUUUUCAGUCAGUAGAAAAAAAAGAAAGAAGACAAAAUUUUAAAGGUGCUGAGAAAAGCCCAGGGCUCACAGCUGGUUUCAGCAACUUCAACUUGCGUAAGACCCCGUGUUUGUGAAAACAACCCAAGAAUCUUUGAACAGGAUGUAAUCAACCUCCGAACUGCUGAGAAAUAUUGCAAAAAUGACUUCAGCUGCCAAAAAUAAUGUCGUUUACAAGCAGCUCUUCCUAUGUCUAAGGAAGAACUAGUCACACAUGCGAGUUUUUGCUGGCUUGAGAACAAGCAAGGAAAAAGACAAAUCCCACCUAACCUAGCCUAAAAUACACAGUGAGUCUCAGAACCCCGCGGAAGCUGUGGCUCAUUUCUAAAGGUGCUGGCAAUAUCGAGGAAGACUUGUAUCCACAAAAUUCCAAAUGAUUAAAUGAUCAAGUCAUUAUUGUGAAUUUGGAUCUAAAUGACCUGGCAGAAACCAUGGAGAUGAUCUUGGUAAACUCACCUAAUUUUUAAAAUGCCUCACAGAGUUUAAUUUUGCCCUUUUGUGUCAUAGUAAAUGAGAGGCUUUCUUGCCUCCACUUCAUUCCAAACUCAUGUCCCAUGAUCUGCAAGAAAUGUUUUCUCUUUAUUUGCAAGCAUACUGCUCAAGCUUCUAUUUAUGAGCCCCUGAACAAUAGAAUAGACAGCCCCACUGAGACUCUUUUGCCUUUGUGUGGUACAAAGGGACCUCCCUCUAGGAGAAGACAAAAAGAAUUUAAGUCUAUAACUCAUUUAAAAAAAUCAAAACAAAGCAAACAAAACAGAAAAACCCCAGCAUUCAAUUAUUUCUGCUUUCUAUUGGAACUGGAGAUCCUCCUUUUUAACUGAAUUAGCGUAUUCCUGAGCUCAGGAACUGCAGCUAUUAUGAAAUUUAUAAUCUGUUUAUAGUACCUAACAUAGUAUUCUUAUUCUUAAAUAAGUUCCUAAGUAAAUAUUUGUGAAAUGAUAUUUCCCUUAAUUCAUUCUUAUUGUGCAGUUAAUGACAUUAUUUGUCAUUGGAUAUUGACUAUAAAAAUCAGUGCUGAAAGCCUUUACUAAUUAUUUAUACUAAUGUAUCAUUUAAUGUUUAUUCUAGCUUCCUAUGCAGACAGCCUAGUUAGGUCUGAUUAUGUCCAUGGGCCUAUCUCUAUAGAACAGGCAGAGACAUUAAUGCUAAAUAAAGUAAAAUGAAGAACAGUAAUUUUUUUUGCAUGUUAGUUCUUUGUUUUGCACUUUGUUUCAUUGAGUUAGAGCUUGAAGAGAUGAGCUAAAAUAAAGGUAGGCAAUUCAAAGAUAUUUUGAUUGGAAUUGCUGGGUAAGUGAGUGGAGAGAAAAAUGUUGGAAUACCUGAGCAUUCUCUCUCAGUGGCCUAGUUGAACCGCAGGGAACAUUUUGUUCUGAGGGUGAUUUAAAGACACUGAUAAAUAAGAAGGCAUCCUGUUAAGCUAGUUAAAGCUAGACUGAAUAAGAUAGGUUAGUUUGGUACUAAUUUGGGAUAGUUGAGUAGCAAUGGUGAGCCUGAUAAGGCAGGGUGGCUCUCAGUACUCACUCAGCCAUUGGUACCAAAGGAAAAUCAAAGGCUGCAAAAAUGCCAUGUUAUUAAACAUGUUUUAGGAUGUCUGGAGACUCAUCACAGCCACCUAAGCCCAUAAACUAUUAAACAUGACAUCUGUGCUAUUUAUUAACACAGGAAAAAGGUACACUUUUUUUUUUUUAAUGCACAGACAUUACAUGGAGACAUAUAUUUUUCCAAACCAGUGCUUAUCUUGAGAGGGUUAAGAACUGUCGACAAACUACUCUAAUGAGGCUGUUUUCUGAGGGAAAGCAAGCUCAGUAAAUCACUCUGCUUUUCUUUGGUCUUUUCAUCCUGCAUGUAAAAUUUUAACCACAUCUGAGAGAGGAAGUGAAUCUCUGGGCCAAAAUACUCAACAAAUGUCUUAUCCACAGAUAGAGGUAAAUGGCAACUAUAGCUCGUCAGUGACAGCAUUAGUCAUUGUGAUUUGUUUUUAACUUGUUACAGAGUGAAAUAACACUGGUAAGUUCUGGAAGGUGCUUCAUAGUGUUCCAAAGUGUGUCAUCCCUGUGCUUAUGCAUUUGUAUCAAGGAUUUAAAGAGGAAAAACUCAAAGCAAUGUGUUCUGAUCAAGAAAUGGCUGGAAAUGGCAGCUACCUGAUAUGGAACAAUCAACAACUGAAGGUUUAUUUUGAAUGAGAGGUGUUGUCCAACUGCAAGAUGGAGUGAUUGAAGCUGAGAAUAAAUGGAAACACAAUCAAUAGUCACUCCAGUGAGGUAGGAAAGAAAGCCAUUCCAAAGUGGCAGAGAAGCUGCUUUUUCCUCCUGCAUGCUGCCUGCUAGUGUGGAUCUUGGCAUAACAGACACUACUUGGCAAAAGAUCCAUCCUUCCUUUUCCUAUACUUUGCUCAGCAGCCUGGAAGAUUGACCUCAAAAGCAAAAUCACCUGGAUUUCCCUGCCGUUUGGCUUUCAAAUGUGCUCAGCCAAUGACAGGCUGGAAAGAAAUUGACAGCUUGGAAAAGAGGAAGACUGGUGUACAAGAUCCCUUCCACUCCCAUCUCAUUACCUGCCAUGGUCCUAGCAGUGGCUGUUCUUAUUAUGGCCACAACUACUCUUGGACAGGCCAACAUCCACAACUCCAUCCUUCAACUAGGCUUCAUUAACACUGUCCCUCGCCCUUAUCUCUUUCUGUGUAGGGGUGAUAAAGGUUUCCUGACAUCAGAGUUCCUGAGUGCCUCAUAUAUUCUUGUUGGUCCCUGAACCUUGCCCCAACAUCAAUAAAAAGUUCCUUCAUUAAAUAAUUUUCAGUUGAAUCUUUCCUGCUGGGAUCUGUCCAAUUCGACUUUAGCAUACUUUUCGUGCCAAGAAAAUGAUAGUUUCUUGCCAGGAUUUGGCUCAAAGCGCUCACAGUGGGUGAGGGGAUGAGAUUACUUAUUAAGUGAUAAAAUGGAGAUCACAGUGGUUAACUUGCCUAAGAUCACAUGGUUGGUCAACUCAUGGUCGAUUCAUUAAAAUGUUAAAACAUAGAAUCAGUCAGGCAGUGGAUGUAAUAGAUAAAUAAAACACACACGUACCCUUAAUAAUUUAUAUUCUAGGCCAGGUGCGGUGGCUCACGCCUGUAAUCCCAGCACUUUGGGAGGCCAAGGUGGGUGGAUCACCUGAGGUCGGGAGUUCAAGACCAGCCUCACAAACAUGGAGAAACCCCAUCUCUACUAAAAAUACAAAAUUAGCUGGGCUUAGUUGUGCAUGCCUGUAAUCCCAGCUACUCAGGAGGCUGAGGCAGGAGAAUCGCUUGAACCCAGGAGGUGGAGGUUGCGGUGAGCCGAGAUCGCACCAUCGCACUCAGCCUGGGCAACAAGACUGAAACUCCAUCUCAAAAAAAAAAAGUCUAUACACACACACACACACACACAUAUUAUAGUAUAAGGAGAAAGGUGUAUAACCGAUAUUUAAAAUG